rnacentral:rRNA from 1 species
GACCAAGAAGUCUAACAUGUGUGCGAGUCAUUGGGUAUUUUGUUGAAACCUAAGGGCGUAAUUAAAAUAACUAUUUUAUGGGAUUACAAGUGAAUUAAUUUUCAUUUCUUCAUCCCGGGGCGUUCUAUACGAACAUGGUGCAAGCAAUUGAACCCUCUGUUCAAGAGCGUACCUUGAGCAUACAUGCUGUGACCCGAAAGAUGGUGAACUAUACCUGAUCAGAUCGAAGCCAGGAGAAAUUCUGGUGGAGGAUCGAAACAGUUCUGACGUGCAAAUCGAUUGUCAGAAUUGGGUAUAGGGGCGAAAGACCAAUCGAACCAUCUAGUAGCUGGUUCCCUCCGAAGUUUCCCUCAGGAUAGCUGGCGCAAAUAAUUAUAUUAUAUAUAAUCUUAUCUGGUAAAGCGAAUGAUUAGAGGCCUUGGGGCCGAAACGACCUCAACCUAUUCUCAAACUUUAAAUGGGUAAGAACCUCAUCUUUCUUGAUCUGAAGAUAUUGGGGUUUAGAUAUAUUGUGCCCAGUGGGCCACUUUUGGUAAGCAGAACUGGCGCUGUGGGAUGAACCAAACAUGAUGUUACGGCGCCUAAAUUAAUGACUCAUAUUGAUACCAUGAAAGGCGUUGGUUGCUUAAAACAGCAGGACGGUGGACAUGGAAGUCGUAAUCCGCUAAGGAGUGUGUAACAACUCACCUGCCGAAGCAACUAGCCCUUAAAAUGGAUGGCGCUCAAGUCAUAUGCCUAUACAUCAUCGCUAGAAUAAAAAUUGUUGAUCAUUUUGGUCAUCAUUAUGAAAUUCUAGUGAGUAGGAGGGUACAAUGGUGGCGCAGAAGUGUUUGGCGUGAGCCUGCAUGAAGCCGCCAUUGGCACAGAUCUUGGUGGUAGUAGCAAAUAAUCGAAUGAGAUCUUGGAGGACUGAAGUGGAGAAGGGUUUCGUGUGAACAGUGGUUGAUCACGAGUUAGUCGGUCCUAAGCUUUAUGCGAAAGCUGUUUAAUUUAUGUUACACACAAAACUUUUGUUGUACAUAAUUCAAUAAAAGCGAAAGGGAAUACGGUUCCAAUUCCGUAACCUGUUGAGUAUACGUUUGUUUAUUAAAAAUGGGUCUUAUUACACUCAUCCUGGCAACAGGAACGACCAUAGAGAAGCCUUCGAGAGAUACUGGAAGAGUUUUCUUUUCUGCUAAACAAACGUAUCACCAUGGAAGUCUUUUAUAGAGAGAUAUGGUGGAUGGCUUGGAAGAGCAUGACAUUUACUGUUGUGUCAGUAUUUUCUCCUUGGACCUUGAAAAUCUAUGGUGGGGCCACGCAAACUUCUCAACAGACCGUACCGAUAUCCGCAG